rnacentral:tRNA from 1 species
GUAUAUAUAGCUCAGUGGUAGAGUGUGUACCUAGCACGCACGAGGUCCUGGGUUCAAUCCCCAGUACCUCCA